rnacentral:rRNA from 1 species
AGGAUUCGUCCAAUUGAAGCAGAGGACAGUGGCGGACGGGUGAGUAACGCGUGAGGAACCUGCCUUUCAGAGGGGGACAACGGCUGGAAACGGCCGCUAAUACCGCAUGACAUAUCCGGAUGGCAUCGUCUGGAUAUCAAAGGAGAAAUCCGCUGAAGGGUGGGCUCGCGUCCGAUUAGCUAGUUGGUGAGGUAACGGCCCACCAAGGCGACGAUCAGUAGCCGGACUGAGAGGUUGAACGGCCACAUUGGGACUGAGAUACGGCCCAGACUCC